AAGGAAGAACAGAAAAUACGUAAGUACUGCUAAUCCUUAUGUCCCAGGGUUAAAAUCCGUGGCUUCCUUGU
rnacentral:tRNA from 1 species